rnacentral:rRNA from 2 species
CCUGGCGGCGAUAGCGCGGUGGUCCCACCUGACCCCAUGCCGAACUCAGAAGUGAAACGCCGUAGCGCCGAUGGUAGUGUGGGGUCUCCCCAUGUGAGAGUAG